CUCCUCCUUUUGUGCAUCAUUGAAUCCUCGUAUCUCUGUCAGCCGGUCGAUACAGUCAGGAGGAAUCUUACUGGCAGCUGCUGGUCUGCUGGUGAUCCAGAUGAGAGCAGAAGGAAGCAGAUUUCCCUUGAUGAGGUUCGUCAGGAGAACAUCCAGAGAGGCUGGUGAGGAAACAUCAGACCACGUCUCAUUAUCCUUAAAGUUUACAGGAAGACGACAUUCAUCCAAUCCAUCAAGAAUGAACAAGACUUUGAAUUGAUUUCUUCUUGUGAGGUUCAGUCCUUUUGUCUCUGGGAAAAACUGAGUUAUAAGGUCCAUCAAACUUAGUUUUUCUUGCUCCUUUAAGUUCAUCUCUCUAAAUGGAAGAGGAAAUAUGAAGCUGAUAUCUUGAUUUUCUUUUCCUUCGGCCCAAUCCAGAAC